CAAAUCAUGGGCUGGGGGAGGCGUGGUGGUUCAGCGAGCCACUGCGCACCCUCGGCCGACAUUUGGUCGGGACGCUCGUCCUGGAUCAUAUUCACGCUUGUGCUGUUUGACAGAGUAAAGACGCAGUUAAUGAGA
rnacentral:misc_RNA from 1 species